rnacentral:rRNA from 1 species
GAUGAACGCUAGCGAUAGGCUUAACACAUGCAAGUCGAGGGGCAGCGAGGGUAGCAAUACCUGUCGGCGACCGGCGCAAGGGUGAGUAACGCGUAUGUAACCUGCCCGCAACAGGGGGAUAACACGGCGAAAGUCGGACUAAUACCGCAUAAAACAGGGGUCCCGCAUGGGAAUAUUUGUUAAAGAUUUAUCGGUUGCGGAUGGGCAUGCGUACCAUUAGGUAGUUGGUGAGGUAACGGCUAACCAAGCCUUCGAUGGUUAGGGGUUCUGAGAGGAAGGUCCCCCACACUGGUACUGAGACACGGACCAGACUCCUACGGGAGGCAGGAGUGAGGAAUAUUGGUCAAUGGGCGAGAGCCUGAACCAGCCAAGUCGCGUGAAAGAUGACUGCCCUAUGGGUUGUAAACUUCUUUUACAAGGGAAUAAAAUGAGAUACGUGUAUUUUAUUGCAUGUACCUUGGGAAUAAGCAUCGGCUAACUCCGUG